UGGGGAGUAGCUCUGUGGUAGAGCACUUGCCUAGCAUGAAUAAGAUCCUGGGUUCAAUCCUCAGCACUGCAA
rnacentral:tRNA from 1 species